rnacentral:misc_RNA from 1 species
AAGAUCACACGUAGCAUAGGAGUCGGAGCUCCCUCUAUUCCUUUUUCUCUGUGUUUCUUUGGUUGCCGUAUUCUGCCCCCUCCGCUCACCCUCCUUUCCCCCUCCCCCUCCUCCAACCUUCCUUUCUCCGUCAUCCCCUUGCCUUGUCUGUGGCUCUCUGUGUGGACGCGGAAUCUGCUGUGGCGCUUCGCCUCCUUCCCGGCCGGUUCUGCGAUCGAUCGCGUGCUCUCUCGCUCUCUCGCCUCCCCUAUUGCCUGCGCCGAGUGGGUGCGCUAGCCGCUGCUAGUCUACCUGAAAGCGACUUCUCCGCUCGUUACGGCGCAGACACUCUUGCCCUUGUUCAGUCCAUUUUCGCCAAAGACGGUGCACCGGCCACGUGGAAGCGACGCCUUUCUUUCGCCUUGCUCGCCUCACCCUUCCGUUUCAUCGGCGUCGUCGCCAUCGUUUCGCACACGUGCGACCUGCCUCCAGCAACACCACAUUCCGCGCGCUUACACACAUACACCAGCAUAGAACGGUGACCGAAGGAGACGCUGUGACCGCUAUCAGUAGCGAAGCCCCGCGUCCCGCACCGGUGAGAGCAGCGCAACAAAGACGAUAAGGCGCCGAAAGCACCACCAAGGCACGCGCGCAAUCGAAGCCUGCGAAAGAGGGAGGCAGCGAGAAAAGCACACACACACACACACACACACACACAAAAAGGGUAAGGCGGUUCCACAGUGGCUGCGCGCUUUCUGCGCCCUAUCCGAGGCCCGCGGUAGCGCGUUCUGCCUCCUUCCCCAACGUUAACUGUCGCUGUCCGAUCGCUCCACACGAAAGCGGCCGACCGGCCCCUCCCUUUACCACCACCUCAUCGCCCUCUUCUCGUUUCGGGUUGCGCCUGCUGUCGGCGGACCGUGCCACGCACCAGCAGCGGCGGCAAGAACAAGAGGAGGAGGCCGAGAGGGCAAAGCGGCAGCUCCUUCUUUACCAAGCCGCGUGCGCGCUUCCGCAUUAGUGACGCAACGCAAUACAUCCACCAACCUCUACGUGACGCUGACGAGCAGCGAAGCUACGCGAGCGGAAAGUAACACGUGCACAGUUCCAUCAGCGUGAGCCCCUCCCCCCUCCUUUCUGCUCCCCUCUCUCCGCCUUCGUGCGUGUGCUUGUGCUUGUGCCCCUGCGAAACGGAUUCGUCAAAAAGAGGCGGAGUUGCUGUCUCUUCUUCUCCCCUUCCUUUUUCCUUUGCUCUCACAAGACGUUUUCCUUCCUUCCUUGUGAGCGUGUAACCACUAAUAAUUAAGAAGAAAGGGGCGAUACACGCAGAAGGUACGCGUUCACCACGCAAGAGACGAAGAAAAGUCGAAAUCACAGCCGAAGAAGACACUAAUCUCUUGCUGCACUGCCGUGUGAAGACUUCCACCCCCUGCCUGCAUCUAGAUCUUUCUCUCACUCUCUCUGUGCGUUCGUUUCAUGUGCUGCGCUUGACUUCUCGUGCAUCUGUGCUCGCGUGGCUCUCUCUUUCGCUGUGGGCGUGUGUCUGCCUCUGGGCGAAGCGGUGACUGGUAACCGUGCAGAUCUGCUUGUUUAUCUUGCACACCCACGCACCCACGCAGAAUCUCUCUCUCUCUGUUGUGUGUUGAAGCGUUUCUUUCUCCUGCCUUGUCCCUUCUUUGUUUUACUCUUGCUGGUUUCAGGCGUUUUGCGUUUCUUGUUUCCUUUUUUCUUGUGUGUUUCGGUGUAUGAGCGUGUGUGGGUGUGCCCGUGUACGCUCGUCUUCUCGGUUUGGCUUUCGCGCGCGUACGCCCUCACCUUCCCCCUCUUUCACUGCUCGGCUCCUUUCCUCCGUUUUUCGCUCUCCCUGUUGCCACUUCCAUCCGCCGCACCGCACAGUCCCCCCCCCCCCCCCACUCCCUCCCCUGUCUCGCUUGCCUGACGCGUGCGUCGGCGUCGGUGCCUGUCGCGCCUUGUAUCUGUGUGCCUGUGUGGUCUUUUCCGAUCUGAGAAACGGGGUGAGUGGCGAAGUCUCGCCAGUGCGUAUCUUUUUUUGUUUGUUUACCUUGGUGAAGGGGAGGAGACGAAAAGAGGAGGCCGCCAUCGACGUCGACCACACGUGAGUGGUUGACCUGUACCGUCUUCUCCGUCUACUGUACACAUCGUUGUCGUCAUGAGCAUGGUUGCCCCUCCGUCUACCUUCGCCGAGGCGGGGAUACCGCUGCACGCGAAGCUGCUCAGCGCUGUAGAGGCUGAUGGGCAGGUCAUCACACCGACACCGCUGCUCAUUCGGGUUCUGCGGCGGACAGCGCUCGACUUUGCCGACGUUAUCGUAGAUGGGCGCUGCGCCACGGGCACUCGCCAGGUGGGCAGUGCCGCUGCCGUUUGGGUCCACAACACAAAUAUUAGAACCAAAGCCUCGCAAGCAGCCGCAGGAUCCUCUUCGAAAUCGCCGCAGCAGCCAGCAGGCGACAACAGGGCUUCAUCUCCGGGCACGCGAGGCACGAACAGCGACAAGGCGGUGCCCCUCUACCGUACCGAGGCGGCGCUCAGUGAGUGCCGCUCACUUCUUGUCCUGUACACGCUGCACUGCCUCCUGAGUGCCACUCAGGAGGCGAGCACGGACGGUGGCAGCAGCAGCAGCGACAGCAGUGCCCAUGUUCGCGCGGAUGCGGAUGGGCGCGUUCAGCAGUUGCCACUCGCCGCGCGUAACUGGGCACCGGAGGUGUCGAUCAUUGUUGCCGAGACGGAGGCGAGUGCGGUGGAGCUGCACCGAAUGUGCAAGUCUCUCGGUGAGGCCUGCGGGCUGCGUUUGAAUGCUGUGCUACAGGUCGGCGACAAGCCCCCCGCAUCCCUCGUGUUGUCGCCCGCUACGCCGACAACGGAGAAGGGCACGGCAAAUCCAGAGGUCAGCGGUGCGCCGGCUGCUGCCAGCGACGCCAGCAAGGAUGAAGAGAGCGGCGUCACCAGCGGCACCGCCAAGAAAACGACCUCAGCGGGUGAGCGGCCGCACCUGGUCUCCAUCAUCGUCACAACUGCACAAGGGUUUCUGAGGUGGAACUUGAGUGCGCUACUGAGUGCUGGCGUGGAUGUCGCUGUUGCCGGCAGCGGCACAGCCUCGGCGGCUGCCGAAUCGGCAAGCGAUGCAGCCAGCACUGGUGCUGCAGCGGCCGCUGAGCCCUCGCCGAGCCCUGAAAUGCGGCGGGUGCACCCCCACAUUGCAUCGAUCGUGGUGGAGGAGAUGGGAGGGGCCAGUGUCACCUCUCCGAUAGGGGUCGACAAGGCGGUGCAGCAGUGGCGCGAGGUGCACCACACUCUGUACGCGGCGGCACUGCGGCAGAACCCGCGCUACGUGCCAGCGGCGCACCUGCACCCCCACUACAUGUGGGUCUGCCGCGGACCCGUUUCUCACCUGCCUGCAACGCUGCGGCAGUGCUUCAGCCGGCGCAGCCGUCGGUACUACCAAAUCCAGCCCUCCACGUACAUCAGCCCCUUGGCCGUUGCCCUUAUGCCGCACCCGCAUGAGGGGCUUAGCUCACCAGCUGAGUCUCUGGGGAUACGCCUCGUGCUGUCGCAGAGCCAGGCUGACAAGGAGGCGCAGCUUCGCCGCAUCGUGACGGACCGCAGCGGUCUCUUUCACCGUGUGCUGCUGCUCACGCACAACAAGGAGGUUGCCCAGCUCAGCGCGUUGAUCGCGAGCUGGGGUGUGUCGAAGGAAGCGCCAACCGCGUCAACGGUGUCGGCGUCGUCCUCGAACAGCGUUGUAUUUAGCCGGCGCAUGGACAGCCUAGGCGCUCAGCAGCAGUGCCACGCGGCGUACCUGCAGAGCUGUGAGGCGGCAGAGCGGGUCUUGCCAGCCGCGGCGGCGGCGUCGUCGUUGCCGUACUCCUCCCCUGUCGUCGUCACCCUCGUUGCGUGGGACGCGCUGACUUCGCUCGACAUAAUGGAUGUGGACGUUAUUAUCCAGUACUACCCACCUCAGAAGUCGUUGACGGACCAGGAGUGGGCGGAGUUCAUCCAGGUUCUGCACACCACCGUCGACGGGGAACGCGAGAUCGAACUGUCCCUGCGGCAAAACCGCCACAUCAAGGAGGACAGCAUUCAGGAGAAGCUGCAACAGCUGCGGGAGGGCACGACCACGGGAGCAGCGAAGUCAGCGGAGGGAUCUGAGCAGCCGCAGCGUCCGCUGCCGGUGCUCGUGACACUGAUGUUGGCAGCGGACUUUACUCUCUCUGCUUACUUUCUUCACCAGUACAUGUACAGCGGCGCCACCGGCACCCUGACCCGCGCUGCCACAGCUACGUCGCUCACGUCGACCGGACCGGCUCCUGGCCGCCCGGGGGUGCAGGAGCCGGUGGAGUACCCGAUGCCGGUGCUCGACAUUUCUCCUAAGCAUCCAUACUUCAUUCCGCUAGUGUGCGGGCACACGGGUGACGUCGAGUGGCCAGCGACGGCACCCGGCUCACCACCGAAGCCGCGCACCGCGACAGCUGGCGUCGACGGCGCCGAGGAAAGCCUGUUGCUAACACUCACGUCGGGCGAGGCGAUUACAGUGAAGAAAGUUCUGGUGGCGAAGCUGCAGAAGGAGCAACAGCGGCUUGAAGGCUUCACAAGCUUAUCGGGCACGGCCGCGGCGGCCAAUAACGUGGGCUUCUCUGGAAACUCUUCUGUCGGUGUCGCCCCGUCACCGGUACAGCUCUUGGCGCAGGGCAACAUUGCCAUGACUGCCAACGCUGCGAGUGGAGGGAGCGCCAACCUCAGCUCCAGCGGCAGCGGUGGCGCCGAGCGUAAUUCCUUCGCAAAGAUAGUGAAAAAUUCUGGCGUCGCAACGGCAAACUACGCAGCCAACGCCGCAGCUGGAGUUGCGAGCCCUGCCGCUGCGACUGCUACGACCAUCGGCGCCAGCGGCGUGCGAGCUAAUAGCCGCGGAAACGCCGGCGCAGGCACUGGCGCGGCGGACGGUGGUAGCGGCAACAACAGCAGCCAGCGCCAGCAUCAGCAGCGUGGAGGAGGAAGUGGUAAGGAGCCCACUUCAUCCGCCCAAAAUAGCGGUGGUGGUGGCAGCAACAGCAGCAACAGGUGCGCACGCUCCUCGGCAGCGCAGAACAGCAACACCGGCGGCCGCGGCGGUAGCAAUGGGAAGGACAGCGCCAAAGCAAACAGCAACGGCAGCCUGAGCAGCACCAGCGUUGCUGGUGGCGCUGCCUUCAACACCACCAACGCCGCCGCUGCUGCUGCUCAGGCUGCCGCAGCAGCAUCUGGCGGUGCGAUCGCGCCUGGCAGCAAAAAAGAGAACGAGACGGGCAACACAACAACGCGAAGUCCGUUGGCAAGCAAGUCCGGUGCCUCGUACCCUAAUGUGGCUUACGCCGGAGCGAAAGAUGCGGGCAGCGGCAGUGGCGGUGAUGGGAAGGGCACCUCCAACAAGCGCCGUUCCCGCAACACGCGAGGAAAGAAGCAGCAGCAGCAACAGCCAUCUCCACCAUCGAGUUGAGCGGCGUGUGUGUGUGUUUGGGGGGGGCGACAGCAGCUUUUUUGUUUUAUUUCUCGCUCUACGAUGUCUUCUCCCUCUCUCCACGUUUUUGCUCCCCCCCUACCAUCCCCCUCUUUCCUUCCCCAAGUUUUUCCUCUUGGCCAUGAAGGGUGGCAGCGCGAGAAGAGUUGUAGGAAAGUCGUGAGUCCCUGCCUGCCUGCCUUGCCUGCGCCUGUGUGUAAGCGUGCACGGGCUUCAACAGUAUGGCGCUCUUCCGUCUCACGUAUGCGUCUCUGUGUAUGUAUGUGCGUGUGCGCUUCUUUACUCCGCUUCUUCGUGUUAACUGCGAAAAGCGUCUCCUGAUGCACCCUUGCCCUUCUCUCUCUUGUUCUCUCUUUUUUUUUGCCCGCUCCAUCGUCUUCUCGUCCUUUCACCUUAGCGAUGGCGUCGUCAUACUCCACCACCCCUUCCCCAUGCAUCCACGCGAAGCACGUAAGCACUUCGUGGGAGGGGCGACCGCGGAAGUGUGCGCGCGUGCGUCCGUGUGUGUGUCUUUGGACGCCGCACCUUUUUUGCGUCUUUGCAGGACAACUCCGCUUUUACUUGUCUUUCUUGUUUUCCUCACUCCUGUUCGUCCCGCUCCUUUUUGGCUGUUUGCACUCUGGCGGGCUUCCUCCUUCUUUGGUGACUCUGUUCUGCAUGGUUCGAAAAAAAAAAAGAAACGUUUCUGUGUACGCUUCUGUGCGUCCUGUGCGUGCUCGUGUCUGUGUCUUGCGUUUUGUUCGUCUCUUGGCCACUCUUCUUUUCUUCGUCGUCGCUUUUCCUUUUAUGGCUUGAGGUCUCCUCCUCUUUCCCUUUUUUGGUAUGCAUGCGCGUGUGCUCUGCCUCCUUUGUUGCCUUAUUUUAGCGUUGUGUGUGUGUGUGGUGCCUGAGGCGUUUCCCUCUCGCCCUCUGACCAUCACCCCUUUUAGGGUUGCCUUGGUCUCUCUUCCUUUUAAUUUACUGAACUGUUCUCUUCUUCGAUGAGCUCUUUCAGCUCGGAGAAUGCCCCCGCGUGUGCACUUGGAUGCGUGUGCGUGUGUGUGUGCCGAACCUCCCAUCCUCAUCUCCUCCCUUCCUGUUCUCUCUCUCUUUGUCCCUUCCUCCUUUCCUCGUUAAGUAGUUGAAUGGAAAGAAAAGGGCAGCCUGGUGCGCGUGCGUGCUUGCCGGUUCAUCUGUGCACGCGUUGUCCGUCACUUGUUGCCUCUUCGUUUUCGCUUUUUUUUGUUUGAGUGUAAUAGGGUUGCCGACGCAGAACUGGGAAUCUUUUCGUUCUGGACCUUUCCUGUCGCUCCGCCUUGCGCCUAGGCCUCUGCCACCCUCUCUCUUCGCACGUAUGUGCGUGUGCUCGGUCCCUAUGUUGUGCACGGCUAUAUGGCUCGUGUAUGCGCUCUUUUCGACUUUGUUUCAUCGGUGAGGAGCUCGGUGAUGCUCGGUGUUCUUUGUCUUGUGGUCGAUGACGUUUUCCUUCUCGCUCUUCUUUGUGUGUGCGUUUGUGCGGGCUCGUGUGCCUCUUCUCUUCCCUUAUCGGUGGCGGUGGCGAGAGAUGAAUAAUAGUCAGCGCGCGGCUGUGUGUGUGCGCGUGCGCGUUUUGGAUACAGGUUUGCAGGAGUGCAUAGUCGUCAGUGUCUGUGCUCGCACAGCUGCUGCUGCUGCUCUCUUUUUAUUAUUACUGAUUUCUUCUUGCCGUUUUCCGUUUUCUGCGAAGAGGGCGUCGAUCAAGGCGGUCCUCCUGCUCCUCCUCCUCAACAACGAAAACGUGUGUGGCUCUGUCGACUUCGACUGUGCCCUGUCUCUCUGGGUGUGCGCCUGUGGUACUUUCUUUGUCUUAUUGUAGGUUUGUAUGCCGUGGUGGCCGGGGGUACUCAUUUUAUAUUUUGUCGUGGUUUUGCUGUUGGACG